rnacentral:lncRNA from 1 species
CUAGCUACACCUCUCAAUUAUAUGACAGUCGUAUAUAAUUUAAUUAUAUUGACAGCAAUGUGUUAGCAAAAUAUUGCACACAUAUUGGGUAAAAAUGUCAAAAAUGUGGAUACAGCAGUCAGCAUUGUGUUAUAACCUUAAUUACUUCAAUAGAAUUGAUAAUGGAAACGGAGAAUGUGUCAAAGAUACAACAACCUGACCAGAAUAUAGCCCAAGACCAUAAAUGCAUCGUCAAAACAGCGAAUAAAUCCCGCACCCAAAGGCAAACUUCAGCUGGCCUCUAAACAAAAGUUCAGUUGAAAUGGACGUUACACUAAACUCCAAAACGUAUAAAUGAACAAAAAUGAAAAAAAUAGACACAAGACUAACAAAGGCCAGAUGCUUCCGACUUGGUACAGGUGCAAAAAUGCAGUGAGGUUAAACAUAUUUCUUGAGACCGCAAGUCACACUUAUCUGAUGUUUUAUUUCUUAGUAAAACCUCCUCAUCAUGCCAAUGCAUGGUUAUAUAAAUAUUUCUCCUAUCAAAGCAAUUUCUUAUCUAUAUCCAAUCUUACCCUUUUAUCAUCAUUAAAUGAUGAAUUUAUUCCCAUUCAGUUGACGUUUACAAAACAAUCCAGUUAGUUGGAUAAUAUGGUGCUUUUGAAGAUUCAACUACAUUUUCCUUUUGGUUCGAUAAGCCUUAUCGGCAAGGGAUACAUAGAGUAUUGAAAACGAAAGGGAAGGUGAAAUGAGGUUAAAAGGGAC